UACGUAGGGUGCGAGCGUUGUCCGGAAUUAUUGGGCGUAAAGGGCUCGUAGGCGGUUUGUUAAGUCGGAUGUGAAAUCCCUCGGCUCAACUGAGGAAGUGCAUCCGAAACUGGCAGGCUUGAGUACUAAAGAGGGUCGCGGAAUUCCCGGUGUAGAGGUGAAAUUCGUAGAUAUCGGGAGGAACACCGGUGGCGAAGGCGGCGACCUGGGUAGAUACUGACGCUGAGGUGCGAAAGCGUGGGGAGCAAACAGG
rnacentral:rRNA from 1 species